ACGCGAAUUGCACCUUCUUGGCUCAGGAUCCUUGCAAAUGGUAUUUGGCACUACGUCCCAAGGCUACCUUAAUCGAAACGGUGCAAUGUAUUUCUGUCCCCCUCAGACUCCCAUGAUUUUUCCCUACUUGAAAGAAAGAAAGUGUAAUACCUAACGAAUCGAGUUUCUCAGGCUUUCCGGCUACCACAUCUUUUAGCUGGCACCGUUCAAGGCUCUGCAAAAAAAAACAGAAAAGAAAAAGCAACCGCAAAUGAUUUCAUUGAAUGUGGCAUUUCUGUACAAAAAGAGAAUUCCUCUUCAUUCUAAAACUAGCUUACUCCACACAAGCUAACAAGGCAUGUCAUGUUAUUGUUGUUUGUAAAUGGAGUUGCAAGUAUGUUCAGUUGAUGACAAACACGAGCAUUUGGAUGUAGAAUUGAAGUGGAUUGAAAUGACAUGUCUGAUAAAUGGACAUAUCCAAGUUGCAUUUUUUUAUAU